CACACACCGCCCAUCGCUUCAUCGAAGUUGGUUUUAGGCGAGGUGGUGCGAUUUGGCAUUAUCGAACCUGAGAUCAGCAACGAGGGAG
rnacentral:rRNA from 1 species